AUUAAUUAUAUUAUUUCUAACGGAAAAACAUGUAGGUUUCGCUCGCUCAUUGGCUCUUACGAUUAUGACGUAACAAUCAUAAUACGCGUAACGUAACAAGGAGCAAUGAAAUAAUUACUUUUAAACGAAGUUGUUGUUGUUGUCAAUGAAAAUUAAGAGAAAUCGUUAAUUAAAUCGUAAAAAUGUAUCAAAACUUAUUUUUUUACGUGCAUAUAAAUAAAUGAGAGAGAGAAUUGUACAAGUCUGCGGCGUUUUUGAUCGCAUGUUUGUGAGUUUUAAACUGUACAUUUUGCAAAAUCGCCUCAAUACUUUUCAUCGAACACCUCUUGCGGUAACAUCAAAUGGAAUUAACUCGAAAAUGUUAUCAUUAAACAGAUCGGGAGAUCGGCGACUACAAAAUUAUCGACAGAAGAUGGAAUCGCUUCCACAUUCGCCUCAUUAAGCAAAAUCUCGUGACAGUUCCCCUCCAGCCCCUUUGUCGCCCCGUUCAUCGACUUGGUAUUGGAAUUUACAUCUGCUAUUUGUGGGAUGAAACACAACAGAAAGGGGGAGAGCAAAGGGGAUGCUGUGUUUCAGAGAUAAGGGAAAAGAGAGAGAGAGAACCAUACCAAGAAUCGACUCUGUCCUGAUUUUUUCCCUCUAUUUUUUUUUUUCCUCUCCCUUCUUGAUUUCUUGGCAUGGGUUGAAUCAGUCCUUCUGUCAAGUAUCACUCUUUCAAAUAUAAUAUAAUUUCUACGCGGGUAUUGCAUUAAGAUUUCGAAAACUUUACAGAAUUACAAAACCCACUUUAAGUUGUUUACGACGUUUUAAAAUUUUCUGAUGAUUGAUUCGCACCUAAUGUAAUGUGUCGAGAUUGUUGCGAGUGGAUUGUUUUCGAAAUACGUAAAUUUUAUAUUACUGCCUGCGGAGAAAAGUGAAUGUGUAAACAGUAUUUAUCGUCACUAAUUCCUUUCUAGAUAAGUGAAAAUGCGUCUUAAUUAUCUUGGCUUCCUUUAAACACGUUCCGAAUCUGAUAAUUGAUGCCGUUCUAAAGCGAUAAUUAAUU
rnacentral:lncRNA from 1 species